rnacentral:rRNA from 1 species
GACGUAGGGCGCGAGCGUUGUCCGGAUUUAUUGGGCGUAAAGAGCUCGUAGGCGGUCUGUCGCGUCGGAUGUGAAAGCCCGGGGCUUAACCCCGGGUCUGCAUUCGAUACGGGCAGACUAGAGUGUGGUAGGGGAGAUCGGAAUUCCUGGUGUAGCGGUGAAAUGCGCAGAUAUCAGGAGGAACACCGGUGGCGAAGGCGGAUCUCUGGGCCAUUACUGACGCUGAGGCGCGAAAGCGUGGGGAGCAAACAGG